GACGAACGCUGGCGGCGUGCCUAACACAUGCAAGUCGAACGGAAAGGCCAUGCUUUUUUGCGGUGUUCGGCUUGCGAAGGGGUGAGCAACACGUGAGUCCCCUGCCCUUGACUUUGGGAUAACUUCAGGACACUGGAGCUACUCCCGCAAAGGAGCUCCCGCUGUAUGGUGGGCGUUGGACAGUUUCGGCGGUUGGGGAUGGACACGCGGCUUAUCAGCUUGUUGGUUGGGUAGUGGCAUACCAAGGCUUUGACGGGUAGCCGGCCUGAGAGGGUGACAGGCUCCAUUAGGACGGAGAUACGGCCCAGACUCCUCCGGGAGGCAGGGAAGGGGAAGAUAGCACGAGGGGAGGAGGCCUAAUGCAGCAACGCCGCGUGGGGGAUGACGGCCUGGCGAUUGUGAGCCGCUUUUGCCUGUGGCGAGGCGUGAAUGACGGUAAUGGGUAAAUAAGCACCGGCUAACUACGUG
rnacentral:rRNA from 1 species